rnacentral:rRNA from 1 species
CAGAGACUGCAAGCGUUAUUCGGAUUCACUGGGCGUAAAGGGUGCGCAGGCGGCCAAGUGUGUGAGGCGUGAAAGCCCGGGGCUUAACCCCGGAAUUGCACCUCAAACUACAUGGCUAGAGCAUUGGAGAGGGUAGCAGAAUUCACGGUGUAGCAGUGAAAUGCGUAGAUAUCGUGAGGAAUACCAGAGGCGAAGGCGGCUACCUGGACAAUUGCUGACGCUCAGGCACGAAAGCGUGGGGAGCAAAAGGGAUUAGAUACCCCUGUAGUCCACGCCCUAAACGGUGUACACUAGGUCUUGGCGGAUUCGACCCCACCAGGGCCCAAGCUAACGCGUUAAGUGUGCCGCCUGAGGACUACGGCCGCAAGGCUA